rnacentral:rRNA from 1 species
GCUCCCCGCUGACGAGCGGCGGACGGGUGAGUAAUGCAUAGGAAACUGCCCAGUAGUGGGGGAUAGCCCGGGGAAACCCGGAUUAAUACCGCAUACGCCCUUUGGGGGAAAGCAGGGGAUCUUCGGACCUUGCGCUAUUGGAUGUGCCUAUGUCGGAUUAGCUAGUUGGUGGGGUAAGAGCCUACCAAGGCGACGAUCCGUAGCUGGUCUGAGAGGAUGAUCAGCCACAUCGGGACUGAGACACGGCCCGAACUCCUACGGGAGGCAGCAGUGGGGAAUAUUGGACAAUGGGGGCAACCCUGAUCCAGCCAUGCCGCGUGUGUGAAGAAGGCUUUCGGGUUGUAAAGCACUUUCAGUGAGGAGGAAAACCCUGCGAUUAAUACUCGUGAAGCUUGACGUUACUCACAGAAGAAGCACCGGCUAACUCCGUGCCAGCAGCCGCGGUAAUACGGAGGGUGCAAGCGUUAAUCGGAAUUACUGGGCGUAAAGCGCGCGUAGGUGGUUUGAUAAGCGAGAUGUGAAAGCCCCGGGCUCAACCUGGGAACGGCAUUUCGAACUGUCAGGCUAGAGUAUGGUAGAGGAGUGUGGAAUUUCCUGUG